rnacentral:rRNA from 1 species
UACGUAGGGUGCAAGCGUUAAUCGGAAUUACUGGGCGUAAAGCGUGCGCAGGCGGUUGUGCAAGACAGAUGUGAAAUCCCCGGGCUCAACCUGGGAAUUGCGCUCGAAACUACGGUGCUGGAGUGUGGCAGAGGGAGGUGGAAUUCCACGUGUAGCGGUGAAAUGCGUAGAGAUGUGGAGGAACACCGAUGGCGAAGGCAGCCUCCUGGGCCAACACUGACGCUCAUGCACGAAAGCGUGGGGAGCAAACAGG